rnacentral:pre_miRNA from 1 species
CAAAUACUCCCUCCGUCCAGAAAUACUUGUCAUCAAAAUGGAUAAAAGGAAAUGUAUCUAGACAUAUUUUAGUUUUAGAUACAUCUAUUUUUAUCUAUUUUGAUGACAAGUAUUUUCGGACAGAGGGAGUAGAAA